UACGAAGGUCCCGAGCGUUGUUCGGAAUCACUGGGCGUAAAGCGCGCGUAGGCGGUUUGUUAAGUGGGAUGUGAAAUCCCCGGGCUUAACCUGGGAAUUGCAUUUCAAACUGGCCGACUAGAGUACGGUAGAGGGAGGUAGAAUUUCCUGUGUAGCGGUGAAAUGCGUAGAUAUAGGAAGGAAUACCAGUGGCGAAGGCGGCCUCCUGGAUCGAUACUGACGCUGAGGCACGAAGGUCAGGGGAGCAAACGGG
rnacentral:rRNA from 1 species